CAGAGCAUGAGCUGGGAGGGGCAGAGAGAGAGGGAGACACAGAAGCCAAAACAGGCUCCAGUCUCCAGGCUGCCAGCACAGGGCCUGAUGCAGGGCUCAAACCCACAAACUGUGAGAUAAUGACCUGAGCCAAAGCCAGAUACUUAGCUGACCGAGCCACUGAGGUGCCACCAGAAUAUGAGAUUCCAUAAAACAACUGAACAUCAAGUCAAUGGCAUGAAGAAAAAAAUGGUGGGGCAAAGUGGAGAGAGACUAUUCUAAAUUUUAAGACACUCGAACAUAACCAUCAAAUGCAAUGUGUGGACCUCAUCUGGAUGCUGAGUCUAAAAAAACCAACAAUAACGAAGAUAUUUCUUCAGUAUCAGAGAACUGUGAAAAUGGUCUAAGAAUUAGAUGAUAUCAAGGAAUUGUUACUUUUGUUAGGUGUGUUACUGGCAUCAUGGUUAUAUAAGAAAAUAUUCGUAUAUUUUAGAGAUGCAAAGUGAAACAUCGAUAGACAAAAUUACAUGAGGUCUGGGACUUGCUUUAAAAUUUUUUUUUAAUGUUUUAUUUAGUUUUGAGAGAGCGAGAGAGAAUAAGUGGGAGGGGGCAGAGAGAGAGGGAGACACAGAAUCUGCAAAGCAGGCUCCAGGCUCUGAGCUGUCAGCACAGAGCCCGAUGUGGGGCUCAAACUCAUGAACCCGAGAUCAUGAUCUGAGCCAAAGUUGGACGCUUAACCGACUGAGCCACACAGGCGCCCCUAGGAUUUGCUUUAAAAAUGGUUCCACAGUGGGGAACCUGGCUGGCUCAGUUGGAAGAGCAUGCAACCCUUGCUCUCAGGGCUGAGAGUUCAAGCCACACAUUGUGCAUGGAGCCUACUUUAUUUAAAAAAAUUUGUUUUUAAUUUAUUUUGAGAGAGACAGAGAGAAGGUGUGUGGGGGAGGAGCAGAGAGAGAGAGGAAGAAAGAGAAUCCCAAGCAGGCUCCGCGAGGUCAGUGUGCAGAGCAUGACACAGGGUUCGAACCCACAAAACAGAUCAUGACCAGAGUCAGUCGCUCAACCAAUGGAACCAUCCAGGCCCCCAUAGGGCCUAAUUUAAAUAAAUAAAAAAACAAACAAAUAAAAUGCUUCUGCAGAAAAAGGAGAAGGAUAGACAAAGUAAGUGUUGUCAAAUCCUAAUAACUGCUGAAUCUGAGUAAUGGGUAUAUACUAUUCUUUUUAAUUUUGUUUUUAUUUUUUUUUUGAAAUUUUCCAUAGUGAAAAGAUAAUGGAGACAGGCAAAAUAGAAAUCAAUUCAGCCUGAUCUUUGUAUACCAAUGGAGCACAUACAUGGAAAAAGUUAUGGCAAAAGAGAUUGACUUGCGGUCACUAUCAGAGUGAAGGGGGAGUCACAAGCACCUGUGAUGUCAGCGAUCACGCCUUGAAUGAUGUGACCUUGGCAGGAGGACGGGCUGUUGGUGGGUUUAACAAUUCUUUCUCACGUCUCCUUUUUCCUAACACCUGAGGUGGCAUCUCAGCACAUCCAAGUAGAGUACAGAGCAGUGUGCAAUGUUCUUUUGCAUCCAAAAAAUGCUAAUCACACUUGAUAUCUUUGCUAAUUCACUGGGGAAUAAUUUUGGGUUCCAUAGGUACAUCUCAAGAUUUAAAUGGAACUGGGAAGAAUUUAACAAGCAUGUUGAUUCUGUACGGAUUGCCCCUCACCCCACCUCUCCUGACACUUCCUCUGUGACCAUCCUGUUUGAGUAAGGGUGCUGGGUGAGGGAAGAAGAAACAUUUUUUUUAGAGGAAGGAUUACAAAAAUUGGGGAUGCAACCACAGCCAAGUGUGUGACCACUCUGCAGUCCAGAAUGUGGGGCAGGUGGAUAUCAUCAAUUGAUCAGCCCUCUUGCCCACGGGACUUGGCUUCUUGCCACACUACUCCAGGCAGCACCAUAUGGAUGAAGUCUUCCUACUUGAAACGUCUUCAGACUGAAUUGUAAAGCAUUUGCCUCGCUGCUUUUUAAUUUCUACAGUGGAACAAACGAGAAGAAAAAUAUCUUGAAUAGAAACUCAAGGAAUUUGGAUUAGAUUAGAUGUGAAGAACAGCCUCACGCGAGGAAGCUGAAAUGUGGAAUAAUUACGGCACUUAGAAAGAUUAUGAUACUUUUUCUAAAACAUCUAUUAAAACUGGACAGAUUCUGAUUGUCUGGGAUGGUCCAGGAAUGAUGAAGUUGACAACAUGUUGUCUUUUGGCCUGUGUCAGGGCAUCUAGCAUUUUUGCCUGCCCAGCAUCUUUUUCCCAUCCUCCAACAGAAAAUUCUUUCCUUUAGAGAAAUGUAUGUUUGGGAAGGAGCUGCUGCUUCCCUUCUACACUUGGUUUUAACUGUGCCCGAAGCAAGAUUCAGUCCUGGAGAAUUUAAAUGACCUUACCUUCCAGCUUUUCCACCAGAGGACGCUGUUCCUGGUCUGCACGUGGUCAUCUUCUUGUAGCUUCACAUGGUGAGGAGAGAGAGGAAGCAAGCCCUAUCUUGUCUCUUCUUAUCUCAGAUGCUUAUGACUCACUGCCAGUGACUGGGAAAGAGAAUCUACACUGGGAAUCCUCUAACAUCAGAGAUUCAGGAGACUGAGAAGUCCAAGACCAAGGUGCUGGCUGACUUUGCUCAUAGUGAAGACCCUGUUGCUGAUCUGCACAUGGUCGUCUUCUUGUAGCUUCACAUGGUGAGGAGGGAGAGGAAGCAAGCCCUCUCUUGUCUCUUCUUAUAAAGACGCUCAUCUUAAAGAAGAUGUGGUAUUACUCGCCAAUCAAAAAGAAUGAAAUCUUGCCUUUUGCAACUACAUGGAUGGAACUGGAGGGUAUUAUGCUAAGUGAAAUUAGUCAGAGAAAGACAAAUAUCAUAUGACUUCACUCAUAUGAGGACUUUAAGAGACAAAACAGAUGAACGUAAGGGAAGGGAAACAAAAAUAAUAUAAAAACAGGGAGGGGACAAAACAGAAGAGACCCAUAAAUAUGGAGAACAAACUGAGGGUUACUGGAGGGGUUGUGGGAGGGGGGAUGGGCUAAAUGGGUAAGGGGCACUAAGGAAUCUACUCCUGAAAUCAUUGUUGCACUAUAUGCUAACUAAUUUGAAUGUAAAUUAAAAAAAAAUUUUUUUUUUAAUUAAAAAAAAAAAGAAAGAUGCUCAUCUUAUCGUGAGGGCCCCACCCUGACAACCUAAUUCCUUCCCAAAGCCUCCAUCUCUAAAUAUCAUCACAUUGGUGAUUAGGGGUUCAAUGAUUUUGGGGGUACAUAAACCCAAUAGUAUAGGUCAAAAUAAAUUUGGCAACUGAAGUCAAGUCAUUGCAAGUCUUUAUAUAGUUAUUGUCUCAGUCACCAGGUCACUUUUAACAGCUCUCUCCCCAUGCCACACUAGGAUAGUGAAUUGACCAUUUAACCCUUUGAUGACUGAAGAAAUGUUGUAGGCCUUUACCUCCUCACUUUAUUCUUCCUCUCACCACGUCCAUUGCUUCCUUUCACCCACAUGCCACCCCUCUACCAAAACCCUUGAUUCUGAAACCUCAUAUGGCAUUUAAGUUUCACUCCAAAAUGAAAAUUCUCUAAAAAACUUCUUUGUAUUCUGUCAUUUGAGGUCCUGCCCUUUCUCACUGUCCUCCAAGAUGACCUCUUCUAAGAAGCCUUCUCUGGUAGCCUGAGUUUUACCAGUUUGGCUACUCAUAAUGGCAAGUUACUUACUCUCUCUGAGUCUUGGGAGUCUGCAUCACUGAAAUGGAGAUAAGAUUAUCUACCUUGCAGGUCUGCCAUGGAGAUUAAGUGAGAUGAUGCUUGUAAAGUUACUCAACAAAUGGUAAUCAUUGUGAUGUGCUUGGUCCCAUGCUAGGGGCUACAGAGCAGAUGAACGAGACAGCCCCUUCCACAAGAAGCUGCAGAUGAGCACAUGACUGUCUGCCUGCUUUUGGCUUCAAUUGCCCUGUAGUGAGCUGAAGCAGAUUUUCACAAAUAUAAAUGAAGACUUUUCUAGAUGUUUUUAGACACCGACACCAUUAUGUCAUCCAAGUUCUCAGUUAGCAUUUGAAUAAUGCAUCCUGAAGGCCUGAAGGGCAUCACCACAGAGCCUUUCCAGAUAUGACUUUCUUAUACUUCCUCACAAAAUGAUUUGUCCUGAUGCUUAAAGGGCCAUCAGAACGGCUUUAAGGGAAAUAGGUUGUGAUUCAUGGAAACCACAUGGAGUAGACUCUGGAAUCUUUUCUCGCUGAGUUCAAAUCAUGGCUCUACUGGCUAUUUGACCCCAGAACAGUUAUACAAUGGCUCUGAGUAUCAAUUUUCUCAUCAGAAAAGUGGGAAUAAUAAUUCUUAUUUCAUAAGAGGGUAAACAAGCAGACUGAGAUGAAGCGUCAAGUGUUCAGUACAGUGCUUGGCAGAUAGUCCAUACCUAAUUCAUGUUAGUUUCCUAAUAGGUGAAUUUAAGUAGGUAGGGAUGUAGUGGGUGCACAUCUAAACUGUGAGCUGAGGGACUUCAAGCAGACCUUCUUCAGUGGUUUCUUUGUGCCACUGUCACAAAGACUGUAGUCUGAGCAGCCCAUGGGUCUGACUUUGCACUUGGUCUCUUUCCAGUUUUCCAGUAGAAAUGACUAAUAAUCAAAUUAUUAUUCCAUUAUUUAAGUUGUGGGUUUCUCUUGAGUGAGGUAAUCAGCUUCUGGGAGCCUCCAUUUCUCUGUUUAUAGCAGCUUGCAGAUGCAAGGGCCUUGCAGGAAACAAUGAAAGGAAUAGAACUAAUGAAAUGCAUCUGAGACAGCACGGAUACUCAUAGGUACCUGAUGAAAUGUGGCUACUAAUAGCAUAGCAGGAGACCUUCUUUUUGAAGUAUAGUUGGGCCAGUUGAUUCAAAAAGUUGAUUCAGGCAGGAAAUAUUUAAAAAAAAAAAAAUCCCUCACCAUGCCCUACCAGUACCACUAAGAUCAUCAAACCUGUUAAUUUCAUCCCUCAUGGUAGCUCCCAUCCCCACUCCUGGCUUGUAUGGUAGAUGUGAGUCACCACCUCCAAAGGCUAGAAAUACUGCUCCAGGCAUAAAGUUUGGUUUGCAACUUUGCAGGCUUUCCUGCUCACAGAGACCACGUACGUGACCACAGGCUGAAGUCGGAGGAGAAGGGAGUGGGGGUGGCCCUCACCAUGGACCACAGAAGAGGAAGAUGUGGAGAAAUCUGAAAGGAGGAGGUGGUUGGGGAGAACUGGAGGGAGGUGGAACCAUGAAGUGGGAGCUACUUCCGUGGCCAGCUGUUCCUCAUGCCGCUGAGUGCAGCGGGGCAUCACAGCCUGCAGAACUGGGCUGGUCCUGAACACCUGGUUUGGAAUGAGCACUUUUGCCCUGGAGGCCUUGGCAAGAUUUCUUUCCCCAUCCGACCCUUACCAUGUUGGCACCAUUGACUCUUGUAAGUCCCAGAAUGUGGGGUGAAGAGAUGUGGCCUCCUGGAGAGGUUAUGGUGUCCUGAAGGGAAACCCCUUGUCUCCUUGUCAAAGUGAUACUGAACUGAACCAGUUUGGCCUUGCCUCCAUGUUGGGAUGGCUGGGGAACACCCCACUAUGUUAAGCAUCUUGUAAAUUAUAAACUCUAUUGAUUUA